CAAAAAUGUUUUGUGUCGCGCAUUACUUUUGACAUCGUGUACAUCGUGUACAUCAUGUAAUUAGUCGUGUAGGUUAUGUAGUCAUAUAGGUCAUAUAAGUCUUGUAGGUCGUGUAAGUAAUAUGGGCGUGUAGUUAUUUGUAUAUAAAAUUUGAUAUUAUUUUUUUAUUGUAUCAAUAGAUAUGGUUUUGAUAUGUGUGUCUAUUCUCUUCAAUAGUGAAUGGAUUGAACAAAAUGACAAGUAUAAGUUCAAAGGUUCUAAGGCUAAAGGGAUAAUGAUACCACAAUUAACAACAUAUGCUGAAUUGGUGGAGAAGAUAACUCAAUUUAUUGAUAUAGAUACUUUGGAAUUUAAAAUCACUAUGAAGUUCAAGUUUAAGAGAUCUGAUCCUAUGCCACCAGUUACAAUUUAAAUCAAUGAUGAUGUAGAGUUUUUCUUAGAGAAAGUAGCUAGUGGAAUGAAGUUUAGAAACCCACUCUGCGUUACUUUUGAAUGUAGAUCAAUUUCAACUGUCUAGCAAAAUUAUAUUAAAGGAAACAUGUGCAAUCAUCAAAGAAUAAAUUGAUCAUGUACAAAUAAAUUAAUAGAUUGAUUAUUAAUGGGUUAGUGUAUGGUGUUGAGACUUGGAUUUAACAAAAACUAUAUAAAUAUAUGGUAUUUUAUUUUGGUAAGUAUGUCCUGUAGUAAUAUAACCUAAUAAGAACCUCAGUUGUACUCACGGUUAAUUAAAAAUAUGUGCAUAUACCAACCCAUUAAUUAUACAUGACUUAUCAUGCCUUAUAAUUUUCCAAUCACCCCAGUUGUACAUGAAAUGAAAUUUAAAAUUUCAAUAAGUCUGCUAAAUUUGCAUGUCUAACAUUUCGAGAAAUAACUAAAGUAAUUAGUAUAAACAAAUAAAGUUUUCUCGAGAUUUUUUAAUAUCUGGAUAGGAUACACUAAUGAACAUAGCAGUUAAAAAAUUACAAUCAUUUUAUUCUUUUUUAUUUUGAAAGUGCUUUCUUCCUCUACCCAAGCAUAUAUGUAUACAUAUGAGGACUGUCUGCAUAUGAUAAUUCCAUGAAAUCAAUUAGGAAAAAAACAUAUCAAUGAGAAGAAAAAAGUAUAUCAAUGAAAAGAAAUUGACUAGAAUAAUAUAUGAAGGUCGUGUAAUACAUAAGGGUUUUGUAAUCGUGCAGUACAUGUAAGUCGUGUAAUACACAACUGAAGGUCGUGAAGGUCCUGUAAUACAUGAUUGAAAGUCGUGUAAUAUUACAAAAAGUCAUGUUAUAUACGACUGAGUAUCUUGUAUUACAUGAACUCGUGUAUUGCACAACUGUGAAUCUUAUGUUACAUGACAUUACACGACCAAAUUGUGUGUUAUAUGAACAAAUUAUAAUAGGCACAAUCCAUCAAUUUUUCAUAAUUUGCAUGCAUCAAAACAACUAGAAAUUUGUUUUUGAAUAUGUUAUGAGAGACCCACAACUAAUUAAUCUAUUUUUUCAAUAUAAAACCCUAAAUUUUUUAUUUUUCCCUAAAUAUCAAUAAGAAAACUAAUUACAAAGAAUUAUUUACCUUAAGUAGUUAGAUUCUGACAAUUUUGCAAUAAAAGAUCAGCUCUCCCCGCGAUUGUGCAACAACGAACUAGGCUUCUCUUUCUCAGUUGUGGCAGCUUCCCCUUCUCAUGCUUGAUUUGCUCGUGUUGAUGUUUGAUUUAGCAUGUAUGGAAUAUGAGUGUUUGUUUGAGUAGAGUAGUUGUGUUUGAGUUGGAAGUGCUUUAAAAUGAGGACAAUUUAAUAAUUUGAUGUCAGUUUUUAAAGGGUGUCUAUGAAAAUUUUGGUAAAUUCUAUUUUUAGAGUAUUGAAAUAAUUUUAAAAGUGUCACUGUAUAUCUGCUACAAUUCCCUCGAACUCUAGGGACUGCUCUGUAAACAUGAAGAUCUUAAUAAAAUUCCACAAAUAAGCCCCCUCCACGUUGUGCUGGAGCAACCUAUAACUUGAAUCAGUUGCUUCUACCUUUUGGUCGUCGCCUCAGGAGUUUGCCUUCUCUCAUUUUUCAGCCGCUUUGCUGCUCUCCGCACUCCUUUCACAUCCCCACCUUCCUCGGAUCAAAAAGCGCUUGCCUUUUAAUAAGCAAACAAUUUGACCGGAUCCGCACAUAUCAUCACGUGGCCCCAUCACCACGUGCACCAACCAUAUUAAUCCAUAUCGCCGUCAGUUCUCACGAUUUACCCAGUUCUAGCCAAGGAGGUUCCUGAUGAUGAUCAUUAUUCGCAUCCAACGGCUCUGAUUUAACAUCCGACCCCGGCUCAUUCUCACCUUGCUGUUGCUGCAGUUGAUUCUGCUCUUCUUCCUCUUCUCUCCUCGCACGCUUCGCCCCAAUCGACACACCAAACAACCUCGGAGUCAGAUCCAACUCCUCCGCCUCCUCCACCCUCGCGCCGCCUUCAUCGGCCUUCCUCGCCGGCAGUAUCUCCACCGUCUUCCCCUCCGGCAGACUUACGUUGUCCAGCUGACCGGACGCGUAAUUCGUCAUUAAAGCGAGUAUGUUAUUACACAAUCCUUUCAACUGACUCAACUCGUUAUUCAGUUGCGCGUUUUCUUUUCUCAACUUUUCGUUCUCUCCUAGAAGCUCCGGCAUCGUCGUACAACUCGUAGUUCUAAUCACGGUCGUAGUCGGCACCGCCACCGGCGACGAAUUAGCUGAUAUCACCUGUUCCUCGCCGGAGUUCGCCGGCGAAAUCUACCGUGCAACCGCAGCGAUCGUCACAGUCCCCGCUGUGGCAGUUGUGAACCAGAACAGGGAAACAAGAUGCAGCAGAGAAAAUCAACUGCGUCGGGGCGGCCAUCUGGCACCGACGGAUCUGAUUUUUCGUAUCGGAUGGUCGUCGAUUCCCGUAAGUUUUCAUUUUUAUGAUAACAGGAUCAUAAAUUCAGUAUAUGCAUUUGAUUUGUUGGUAAAAUUUAACAACAGGAUACACAAAGGUGGCUAGAGGGAAGUCUCGUCUCUCUAAACUCAUUUUCGCUCAGGUACCUAAUUUUUUGGUAAUUUUACUUGUAACCCUUUGUGGGUUUGUUGAGUUUGAACCGGGUCACUGAGCUUUAGUAGGUUCUUUGAACUUCUUAUUUGAUUUGAUCAAUUGGGUUUAAUUCAAUUUUGCUUUUGGAUUUUUAUAUGUUUGUGAUUGCAGGCUGCCAUUCAAUUGAUAGGAUUGUUGUUCACAUUUGUAUUAAAUUCGAAGGAAGAGGGUCCCAAUCCACUUUCUCUUUCCUCUGCUUCUCUUGGAUUGGUUUCUCUUAUAAUUGGAGAAUUAGGUUGUUGUUUAACUUCAUCAUUUUCCUUUAAUUUUUGUAUGUGACUUGUUGGUUCACGUAAUGUUGAAUAUCUUCAUGUACUGUAGGUCGUAAGCGCAGCCGAGUCAGUCUCUUGAGAGUUUGCGUGGUUGCAUCGUCUAUUGCUGUGCUCCUCUCUGUAUUUAGUGUCGUCAGGACUAAUUCAAUUUUAGAGGUCAGUUAUUAUUAUUAUUAUUUUACUUUUCAAUUUUUUCAAAAUUGUGAGGGAAGUUUCAUUUUUCAUUGUUUACAAGUGUUAAUUUAUCUGUUUCGGUACAUUGCUAUUUGUCUUUUCAAUUGCACUAGUUUCAAAUGGAACUCCCAUCUUGAUAGAAAACUUAACAUUGUUGUUCUUGAUGGAUGACUGCACUUAGUAGUCUAGCCAAAAUAAGGGGCAGUGCGUUAGAAUAUGAAAUGACUGGGUGACAGACAUGUUUCUAACAUGUUGUGGCAUUUAGAUGAAGAAGACUUGUGCCACGCAAAAUUAACUGAUUUUGACUUCUAACAAGCAAUUCUCAUUCUUCCUGAUAAUAUUUAGAAUCUAUUUCUACAAACCAAUAAAUAUUAAUUGACUAUGAUAUAUGGUGUUCGUUGAAGUAUUGAAGUCCUUUUUUCUUUUUCCAAUUCUGGACCAGAAGUUUGUAAAAAUGCCCACUAGCUUGUGUUAUCCUAUUGGUAUUUGGGAAGUAUUCGCAAUGUCAAUCAAGUAGAGUGUGUUAUUGCUUAAUAGUAGUUGCCGCCUUAGAAUAGGUAAAGUUGAGUUGGUUGAAGAGCCCUACUUAUGUAUUUUUUAAAACGUGAGAAAUUUGUAUCUUUUUUUGAAGUUGGAUAUGUUGGGUGUGCACUGGAGAGUAAGAUUUAUAUGGAAUACAGUGCUCUGAUGAUCUGCUAGCAUUAUAGAGUGAUCAAGGAGUUUUUGCAGAAGUGUGGAUUUUUCUGUUGAGUCUUAUUGGGAAUAUAUGUGUGUUAGAGACCCUUUUUCUCAAGAAGUUCUUGUUGUUCCAUUAUAGAAGCUGACAAUGUUCAAGAUUAAAACAGUUCCAUUUUUGCUUUCUACAAAGUGGCUUGAGGAAAUAUGGAAAUGGAUCUUAUUGUUGAUAAAGUUCAUGGGGAAGUAAUUUUAGUUAAGUGACGAUGGACUGUCUAGCAUUGACUUAAUUCAACGAAUUUGAAUUCGGUGGUGCUUAUUUUUCUUAACCUUUUUUGUAAAACAGCAAGAGGACAUGAGGGGCCCGUGGGAAAAAAAUGAAUACCUUAACCCUGGGACAUCAUUGCAAGUUGGUAUCACAUUUGUUUAUUCAUGCCUAAUUUAUGAUGGCAUUCGAAGUGAUGGAUUUUGCACAGACAAGCUUCCUGAUUGGUUUAUCUAUCAACAUACAAUACUUAUCCUGUCAUGCUGGAAUUCCUAAAAUGGAUAAUCCAGUACUUAUUUAAUGCUAGUUGAGUUAUUUUCUAAUAAACAGAGUACAUAAGUCUUUCAGGUCCUAUAGAAUUCUACCAAGAAUCUGGACGUUAUAUCUCCUUCCACCACGGAUUAAUAAUGUUGUAACUAUUAUAAUUUCCAGAAAUCAUUGUGAAAGAAGGGAAUAGGGUAUCGAUCUACUUUAUAUAUUUAUCAAUGGUGAGUAUGCUCCCCUUCAACUCAUAUGUUCAGAAUGGUUACUGAGUUUGGAAUUAGAAAAUUGGAUCAUCAAGACUACAAAUGCAUGAAUGCAUGCUUAAAGAAAAAUGAUUUUCAUUUCAUCUCAAAAGUUAUGUUGCAGAGGUUAAGUAGCGGUUCUCUCAAGCUCUCUGACUGUAAUAUGAAUCUAUUGUUUAGGUUAUAAACAACCCAAGCAUAUGGGAAACAAAGAAGUUUGAACUUCUUGAAACUGCACGUGUUCUGAUCGGUAAGUUCACUGUCUUUAUGUUAACUAGUAUAUCUGUUGUCAUGCUUGUGUCAUAACAUCUAUAUAACCUAAACACUGUUUUCUAUGUAUCCUUAUACAGGAUCAUCGGUACAGAUAUUUCUUGUCAGCACUACAAUUUCCCUCGUUCAUAACAUGUCUCCUCCCAAGAAAUCUUCUUAGUAGUUUCCUAUAACUUAAAUUUUUUUUUUUGGGCGGGAUUGUAUCUUCAAACUGAGCUCUGUUUUGGCUGGAUUGUAACUGCAAAAUCACUUAAUAUGUCAAUGGUUAAAAGAGGAAUUUACUUUUGUCUUUCCAGUGGUUUGCUUUACAUCUUUUCUGUCUCAAGGAGCUUCUCGAUGGGAAUAUAUUUUUGUGCCUGUACUGUAGUUUUCAUUAUGAUGAGACUUCUUUUUCUUCUCUUUUUCCUUUAUAAGCAUGAUGCAGAACCAUGCCUCUCUGACCCACAUCUGUUUUAAUCAAUCUAAGUACGCUCAUGAGCAUGUCAGCUUUCAUAAAAAUCUUGCUCCACUCAUUUGCAAAUUCGAAACACAAACCACUUUAGAAUAUUGUAUGGUGAAAGCGUUUACUGCUCUUAUUUGGUCAGCCUCAUUGCAUUAUAAUCUGUAAUUCGUGAACAAGGAGAGUGGUUGGGCUGGCUUAGAGUGUGCUCUCUGGUGCUUUAUUGAGAAUGAGAAGGAAACAAAGAGAGUUUGGGACCAUGGGGCCAUGCCAAUGCGGCAAUGCCCACAAUUUCUUUGCUUAAGGAGUUAGCAAUAAUGUUUUUAAAGUAAAUAAUAGUUGUAUCAGUGCUUUGCAACUGGCACCAUAUGCUUUUGAGCAAUUUGAAAUGUAGAUUGAAAUUCACACACUAACCAAAAUGAUAGAAUAAAGCCAAAUAUUCCUUAGAUUUGUUACACUACCUACUAAAUGAUAAAUAUUCUCGGCGAUCACGAAAAAUUUCCUAGUAUUUGCUUGCACAGCCCAACUAACUACAAGGUAAGAGCAGUUGUGGUUUGGUUGAUAGUUUUUUGUUUGUCCAAUUUUUCUCUGUGCACAUGUGAUCAUAACCUAACCUCUAAUCAAACAGACCAUGCAACUAGCUAACAAGUUCAAAUUUAUAUUUAAUUACUAUAUAGUACAAAUUUACAUUUACAAAGCCAUUUGCCAACGCUUCUUCGACAUCCCUAACAGAAAAGGAAAAUAGAUAAAUCCAACUUUUUUUUUCUGGAUCUGCUAUUUGCUUGCAGUAAAGAUUACAUUUUCAUAAAUCUGAUCUCCACAGGCAGGAUUAAUAAUUUAAUACUGCAUAAAUCACUUACAAUAAUGGAGCUAAUCAUGAGAAUAUCUAACCGCGAAGAGAAGCAUAACUAUUGAUCAAAGCCAAGGCAUUGCUAGUCAUAUGAGCAAUCUUCACAAUCUGGGCCCUCACAACUUUCCCAUUCACCGUAUUCUUCUCAAAUCCAUCGCUGCAAGUAGUCUCAUCAGUCAAAGCAGCACUAACCCAAGUCUGUAUAUCACUCAUUGUAAGUUCAAAAUUUGAAGCUUUGAUCAGACCCAUUUCGCCAAUGGACUUUCUGAGCUCAUCAACUGAAUCACUCAGCUCCUCCAAACAAUCUUGCAUGGCAUCCACCUCUCUAGGCUUCAUUCCAGGGCUUUUCGACAUCUUUAACAUGACGGCUGACGUUGAUUUAGCCAUUGCAAGGGUCACGUUGAGGGAUGCAUGGGCGAGGAGCUUAGGGCUUGUUUGGAUUAAGCUUGCAUGUCUAGCAAGGGAUUUAUAGCAAAGUGUUGGAUAAGUUGUUGAACUGCAAGAUGUUUUGAUGAACCUUCUGUCAGCAGCAAUUUUAGAGGGGCCAUGUCUAGAGGCUGAGAUUGAAUUUAAGUAGGAAAAAAUGGCUAGUAAAAUGAGAAAGUAUUUAAGCAUAUGAUUUGAGGAUGAACCUUCCAUGUCUCUCUCUCUGACCUUUGAAAUUAUGAGCAAAUGAAGUGAGGAUUGAGUUAUGUGAUGAAACGGAAAGGAAAGGGUGUCCAUUUUAUAGGGCAAAAGUGCUACAGUCAAGAAUAUCAAUGGGACCCAAAGUUGACAACUGGCAGCCAACGUUCAAGAACAAUGUACUAAUCCUUCAAAGCUAUUUUAGAUUCUAAUCGAGGCGAGUGGUGAAUUUGAACAAAAUUCAUCUUGAAAUUAACGGAGUAAGCUCCUCUCAUAAUCUCGGUUUCUCCAUUACAGUAGCAGGUGGUUAACUGGUUAAAUUCAUGACAGUCCUUUGCUCUCUUAUGCUAGAACUUUUGCAAAUAAACCCAUUCCAGCUACAAAAUUUCGGCAGUGAAUGGUCAAUCGACUAUUCUGAAAAUUGUAAAGAGUAAGUAGUUAAAAGGAGAAAUAUCAAUCUCUGAAUAAAGAAAAUUAAAGAACCAAGCGAUAAUAAAUUUGUUUUUGGCAGGAGAUAUUUGUAUCUGAUUUGAUCUGUUUUGAUCGAUUAUUGUGAUUAAUUAAAUAGAUUUAUGUAUCAAAAUUUGAUUUAACCGAUCUAGUGCACUUCCGUGCUCACACUUUCUUUCUUUAUUAUUGGAACGUGUAACGCUCAACAGAUUCUAGAGUUUAUGUGCAACUGUUGGGUUAUUACUACUCAUUUUGCUUUUAGAAUGUCGACAGCGGGACCAAAAGGAAGGCGGGAAGCCAAUUCCAAAAAUAUCUGAGCACAAUCAAUAAUUGAUCCCGUCCUUAACUCUCAAAUUGUGCAGAUGAAGUUAAGGCGAAAUUAAAUCCAAUGCUUUUUGAAAGAUAGGAACAACAUAUUGGUAUUCAAAACUGAACCGCAUGCUUGAAUCUGGGAGCCCACAAAAUGACCAAGUUGAGGGAAAGGUUUCAACUAGGGAUGGCAAAACCUCGGGCCGGGAUUGCAAUGACCAGACCCUACCUGGAUGCAACUGGUCCCGGAUCGGGUCCGGGCCGGGUUUUAAUCCGGGUACCCGAAUUUAUAUUUUUUAAUAUUAUAUGUGUAUAUAUUUUUUAUUUUUUUGGUAAUUUUAUAAGUUUUAAAUUUAUUUCAAUAAAAUUUGACAUGAAAAUAUAAACUUUAAGUGUUUAAAACUUUAUAUAUGUAUAAUAAAUGAGUCAAAUAAAUAUAAAUAUUUAAAAUAAUAUAUAUUUUAUAAUAUUUUUUUAAUAAAAUCCGGGUUCCGGAUUUAUCAAGUGAUACCCAAUAUCGACCCGGCUUCAUACCCGGGCCGGGUAUUAACGCCCGGGUAUGGUCCGGGUCCGGACCGGACGGGUAUUUUUGCCACCUCUAGUUUCAACUUUGGCCUACGGGCUACUGCUACUGACCAAGGAAACUUAAUUAAAUUUGGAGAUAUAUUCUAAGAAAAAAUCUCUUAACAAGUUGUGUGAGUGUACCUACAGGAAAUAAUAUAAUUCGAUUCUAUCCUUAAACUCUCAAAUUGCAAAACAAGUUGAGGAAAUUGGCCUCACGUUUGCCCCAAAGAAAGGAAUGGAAAGCUGAAGAAAUGCAGUGCAUUUGGAUUUCAAAAUUUAGCUGCUUUAGCUGCGUAGGGUCUGUCUUAGCCACAUCUCGGAGCCCACUAGUUUCAAUUUGCAUGAUAAAGAUUAGGGUUGGCAAUGGGACGGGAUGGGAUGGGAUUUACCAAUCCUAGUCCCAUCCCGUAUAUGCAAAUGGGAUGAAAAAACGUUUCAGUCCCGUCUUUAUAUUUUUUUUUGGGACAAAAAUAUAUCUCAAUCUCGUCUCAAAAGAGAUGGGAUCCUGCGGGAUCCCAUCCCAUCGGGAAAAAUUGCCAUCCCUAAUAAAGAUUGCAUGAUGCUGGGCUUGGGACCAAAGUGCCACUAUCUUAAGGAAAGGAACGGCGUGGGGGACACUCCCACAAUUUUCGUAUUUUAGAUUAAAAAAAUAACUAUACAAAAAUUCACAUUAUUUUUAAAUAAUUGAAAUAAUGAAAAUUUUUUGGAUUUUUUUUUUUGUAUUGACUUAGAUCUCUUUAUAGACCAAUCAGUUUGCUUUAACAUAAGUUUAAUUUGACUAUUUUACUCCUAUAACAUAAAUUUACUAAAUUCUUACAAAAACAUUUGUUAUGUAUUGUGCCGCAAUAAUUUAGAUAUUUAGUUUUAUAACUUAUAUAAUCUAACACUUUUAGAUGAAAUCCAAUAAUUUUCAAUACCCCUGUUUAUAUGAUAUAAAUUUGACAUCCAAUAAAUUCAAUGCACAAAUGAGCAUACAUUCUCUUUUUGCAUGAUAAUGGCUAUGGAAAACACCAAUUUGCAUGUGGGGAGGAUGAUAGUUUGGGAAAAUACCCACAUAAUUUAAGAUUAGUUAUUGGGUUAAGAAUAUAAGCAAACAUCUCUCAAUUUUUAAGUAUAAGUUAGGCUUAUUGUCAUCUAUAACAUGAACUUAAAUGAUUAACAAUCAAACCCAAAACCAUGAUAAUGAGUCUGAAUCAGUUAAUCUACACCAAGAAAUAAAAAGGAUAAGAAAAACGAGGCUUUCACUACUAGUCCGAAACACGAAAGCGUAAAAGCGAGUUUGAUCAGUAAGUUAGCUAAAAUCUAAAUCUGCCCUCUACCUAUAUGAGCAAGAGUUUGAGAAGCAAAUUUUUUAUUUCAACGCCUUAAUAAAUUUAAACCGUUGAGCCAACUGACACCCUCUGUACUUAUAUCGGCGAGAAUUAGGGAUGACAAAAAUCCCCAUGGAGACGGGUACCUUCGGGGAUUUUCCCCAUUCGGGGAGGGUAUGAGGAUAAUUUCAUACCCAAUUUCUUAUUCGGGGAAGGGGACGGUGAAAUUUUUUUACUCAAUUUUUUAUUCAGGGAGGGGACGGGGAUGAGGUGGAAUCCCCAUUUCCCCAUUUUAAUUUUUAAUUUAAUUUUUAUUUUUUAAAAUUACUAGUAAAUAAAUAAUAAAUUUUGAAUUAUAAAAUUAUAAGUAUUGGUAAAAAUAAAAAAAAUAUCAAAUAUUUAUAUUAUUAAACUUUUAGGCCUAAUUAACUAAUUAAAGUCCUAAAUUUUUAUUUAUAACAUUAAAAAGACCGGACAGAUUCUAUUAGCCCAAAACUUUUGUUUUAAUUUUAAUAUUCAUUAAAUAUUUUAAACUUAAAUCUAUUUUUUAUUUAUCUUAAAUCUAUUUUUUAUUUAUUUUUAGAUGUUAUAAUUGCCCACAACAAAUCACAAUUUUAAUAUUUAAUCAAAUCUACUAUUUGCUCUUGAUUUGCUUCGACUUAACUAAUGUGUUGUAAAAGAAAUAGUCCACAUUUAUAAAGUGCCCAUGCCACCAUUGAAAAGUUAAUUUUGAAUCUAAAUUUGAUUUAUUUUUUAACAAUUUUAUAUUAGGCUAUUAAUUUGUUCAUAAUAGUUUUUAUCUCUUGCAUGCUGCGUUACUUACUAAUUUAAUGUAUGUGACUUUUGUAAUGGAUAUUAAUGUAAGAUAUAUUUCGAACUUUACUUUUAUUUGAAUUUUUUAUUUUAAUAUGAUUAACUCAAAAUCGAAAACAAAAAAAUGUAUUAGUUAUUUGGGGAUCGGGGACCCUCGGGGAUCCCAUGUUAUUAUUCAAGGAGGGGAUGAGGAUUCUCUUAAAUAAUUUUGACGGGGAUGGGGACGGGACGGGGACAUACGCAAAAUAUCGGAGAUGGAGACGGGGAGAUUGGUCCCCUCCCCUCCCCUCCCCAUUGUCAUCCCUAGCGAGAAUAACAAUCUAUUAAUAUGUAGACUUAAAAUACUAAGCCGGUCGCAAAAGAUAAAUAUUUUAAAAUGACUUAUCAACAUAAUAGUGAUUAGUGACUUGAUUUAACCAGUGAGACCGAAGGAAGAAAGGAGGCUCUGACCAUGGGACCAUAAUAAUGCCCAUAAUUUCAUUGCUUAAGCAGUGUGCAAAUAAUCUUUUUCUAAAGUAAGAGUUUGCAACUAUUGAUUCGUUUGCCUGCUUAAUUGUUCAGCAUUCGAAAUAGCCUCACUUAACAAAAUAACGGAAUAAAGCAAACAUCCUUAGAUUUGUUGGAUGACAUAUACCCGCUAAUUAUAUAAAUCUCACUUUGUUAGUGUACCACCAUGAAAUGAUUCACCCUCAUAUCAGGUCACAUCUUUCAUUCGGCCCAAUCAAUUUCAAGAAUAAAAGAGAAACUCAUAAGUUCUUGAGGAAAUUCGUCAUGAAUUCAAGGUAAUGUAUAAAAUUUUAGAUUGAUGUGACAUUUUUUUAGGGCCUCCAUAUCAUCGUCUGUCACUAAUUUGGUGGAGCAAUUUUCGCUUGGUUCAUAGCUUCUUGUUUGUCCAAUUUUUCCUCUGUGCCCACGUGAUAUUCUCUUGGAUUCAACUGAAAGCUAAUUAUCAUAGUAUGUUUGCAUCUACCAAGUUAACAUUUACAACUUUACUUAGGCCUUGUUUGUUACUAAAGUGUUGGAGUUUUCAAGUGAUAAUUAUUGUGGAAAAAAAUUAUAAUUAUAAAAUAAAAGUUGAAAAUAUAUUGUAAAUAUAAUUUUUUUUUUAAAUUAAAGAUUUUAUAAUUUUUUUCAUUAUGAAAUUAUGAGAUCAAAUCAAUUUACUUUCUAAACCGCAAUAACUAAUGUUUACCAAAUAAUUUAAUAAGUUACAAUAGAGCGAGCUCAAUACAAACAUCCAUCUUCUACAUACCACCACUCAUUUCAACAUAUCUCUUUCCAGUUCUCAUUUUGUCUUACAGUAGGAAUAUAUUAAAGAUACAUGACCAAUAUUAAAUAGAAUUUUAUUUCCUGACAAAAGAUUAACAAUAUACACAUAUGUGAGUUAACAUUAAUGCUGAAGCUCAUCAUCAUCACAGUUUCUAAUUAAGCAUGAAGCGAAGCAUAACUAUUGAUCAAAGCCAAGGCAUUGCUAGUCAUAUGGGCAAUCUUCACAAUCUGGCCUCUCACGACUUUCCCAUUAACCGUAUUUUUUUCAAAUCCAUCGCUGCAAGUAGUCUCAUCAGUCAAAGCAGCACUAACCCAAGUCUGUAUAUCAUUCAUUGUGAGUUCAAAGUUAGAAGCUUUGAUCAGACCCAUUUCGCCAAUAGACUUUCUGAGUUCAUCAACUGAAUCACUCAGCUCCUCCAAACAAUCUUGCAUGGCUUCCGCCUCUCUAGGCUUCAUUCCAAGGCUUUUCGAUAUCUUUAACAUGACGGCUGACGUUGAUUUAGCCAUUGCAAGGGUCACGUUGAGGGAUGCAUGGGCGAGGAGCUUAGGGCUUGUUUGGAUUAAGCUUGCAUGUCUAGCAAGGGAUUUAUAGCAAAGUGUUGGAUAGGUUGUUGAACUGCAAGAUGUUUUGAUGAACUCAGUGCUAGCUGUAAUUUUAGAGGGGACAUUUCUGGAUGCUGAGCUUGAGUUUAUGUGGUAAAAAAUGGCUAGUAAAAUGAGGAAAUAUUUUGAUGAUGAAGAUUCCAUUUUCUCUCU
rnacentral:lncRNA from 1 species